CGUUUUUCCAGAGUGCCAGUGAACGCACCACACUGCCAGCCUAACAAUCAUGGCGUCCUUGCGGUUCAUCGCCCUCAAGUGAAAGUAGGUCAUGGCGAUGUAGCCAUCAUCCAUCCAUCCAUAUAUUUUCAUAUUCAUCAUUAUCAUCAAAAUCAAGGGUCUUCUUCUCUCUACUCUGGCUCCUCAUACAUCAUCAAUGGAAAGUAUGUCUGUGACAGUCUCUUGCCGUCGUCGUGCGGGUUCCACUGACCACCAAGGAAGGACAUUGCUUUUGCAGCUGUCAAAAAGGCAGCUGCGACUUUCUUGGCUCCUCCAUGGCUUCUCUCAGAGACACUAGCGGUCACCACACCCCUCCGACUUUCAGGUAUGACUUUAUAAUCUCACUAAAACAC